UCUAUUUUUGAGUGUCAGACGAGGUAUUUGUGAGAUAUCCAGUUAAAAAUGGAAAGCGACGAGGAAGACACGCCGACGUCUUUUCGGUUGUUUUUUUUUUUCGCAAAAGUUGUGGUGUUGAAAACUAAAGGACUCUAGAGAGAAUGGUGCAGAGGAUAGUAUAUGAUUUUCUUGAAUAAAAGUAAACCUGGGAGGUCGCUGCCCAAGCUCAGCAGCCAGGAAGAGGACGGGCACACCCCCCACACCCAAUUCACUGGUGUAGCCCAUUUCGAGCCCAUCCCACAUGACCACGAUUUUUGUGAGAGGGUUGUAAUAAACGUCAGCGGCCUCCGGUUCGAGACACAACUGAGGACGCUUAACCAAUUUCCCGAUACUCUACUGGGUGAUCCAGCACGUCGUAUCCGUUAUUUCGACCCUCUACGAAAUGAAUACUUCUUUGACAGAAAUCGCCCCUCCUUCGACGCCAUCCUUUACUAUUACCAGAGCGGGGGCCGGUUACGAAGGCCGGUCAACGUCCCGCUCGACGUAUUUUCCGAAGAAAUCAAAUUCUACGAACUGGGGGAGUUGGCCAUCAACAAGUUUCGGGAAGAUGAAGGAUUUAUCAAGGAAGAGGAGAAACCAUUGCCAUCGCACGAGUUCCAGCGCAACGUAUGGCUGUUGUUCGAGUACCCAGAAUCGUCGCAGGCGGCGAGGGUGGUUGCUAUCAUAUCAGUUUUCGUCAUUCUGCUGUCCAUCGUCAUAUUCUGCCUGGAGACUCUGCCCGAAUUCAAGCACUACAAAGUGUUCAAUACCACCACCAACGGCACCAAGAUAGAAGAGGACGAAGUGCCCGACAUAACGGACCCGUUCUUCCUCAUCGAGACCAUAUGCAUCAUUUGGUUUACGUUCGAGUUAUCCGUGCGCUUCCUGGCGUGUCCCAAUAAGUUACAUUUUUUUCGAGACGUCAUGAACUUUAUCGAUAUUAUCGCCAUCAUUCCGUAUUUUAUUACUUUGGCCACUGUCGUGGCGGAAGAAGAAGAUACUUUAAAUCUGCCGCGUGCGCCUGUCAGUCCGCAAGACAAGAGCACCAACCAGGCCAUGUCGUUGGCCAUCUUACGUGUCAUUCGGCUUGUGCGAGUCUUCCGAAUUUUCAAACUCAGCCGGCACAGCAAAGGUCUUCAGAUCCUCGGACGAACACUCAAGGCCAGCAUGCGCGAAUUGGGCUUGCUCAUAUUCUUUUUGUUUAUAGGCCAGUCGGAGUCUGGGGGAAGAUCGUGGGCUCGCUAUGUGCGAUUGCUGGUGUCCUGACCAUUGCAUUGCCAGUGCCUGUUAUAGUGUCAAAUUUCAAUUAUUUCUACCAUCGUGAAACGGAUCAGGAGGAAAUGCAAUCACAGAACUUCAACCACGUGACGAGUUGCCCGUACUUGCCAGGCACCUUAGGACAGCACAUGAAGAAGAGUUCUUUAAGCGAGUCUUCGAGUGACUUGGUUGAACUGGAAGAGGGACUGAUGGUGACGCGUGAUCAGCUUUCUCAAAAACAGAAUUGCAAUCCGCGUCACAAUAACAACAUUAACGCCAUGAGCAUCGAGACUGAUGUUUGAC
rnacentral:misc_RNA from 1 species